GGGACACGUGGUAUCCUGUCUGAAUAUGGGGGGACCAUCCUCCAAGGCUAAAUACUCCUGACUGACCGAUAGUGAACCAGUACCGUGAGGGAAAGGCGAAAAGAACCCCGGCGAGGGGAGUGAAAAAGAACCUGAAACCGUGUACGUACAAGCAGUGGGAGCACGCUUAGGCGUGUGACUGCGUACCUUUUGUAUAAUGGGUCAGCGACUUAUAUUCUGUAGCAAGGUUAACCGAAUAGGGGAGCCGAAGGGAAACCGAGUCUUAACUGGGCGUUAAGUUGCAGGGUAUAGACCCGAAACCCGGUGAUCUAGCCAUGGGCAGGUUGAAGGUUGGGUAACACUAACUGGAGGACCGAACCGACUAAUGUUGAAAAAUUAGCGGAUGACUUGUGGCUGGGGGUGAAAGGCCAAUCAAACCGGGAGAUAGCUGGUUCUCCCCGAAAGCUAUUUAGGUAGCGCCUCGUGAAUUCAUCUCCGGGGGUAGAGCACUGUUUCGGCAAGGGGGUCAUCCCGACUUACCAACCCGAUGCAAACUGCGAAUACCGGAGAAUGUUAUCACGGGAGACACACGGCGGGUGCUAACGUCCGUCGUGAAGAGGGAAACAACCCAGACCGCCAGCUAAGGUCCCAAAGUCAUGGUUAAGUGGGAAACGAUGUGGGAAGGCCCAGACAGCCAGGAUGUUGGCUUAGAAGCAGCCAUCAUUUAAAGAAAGCGUAAUAGCUCACUGGUCGAGUCGGCCUGCGCGGAAGAUGUAACGGGGCUAAACCAUGCACCGAAGCUGCGGCAGCGACGCUGAUGCGUUGUUGGGUAGGGGAGCGUUCUGUAAGCCUGCGAAGGUGUGCUGUGAGGCAUGCUGGAGGUAUCAGAAGUGCGAAUGCUGACAUAAGUAACGAUAAAGCGGGUGAAAAGCCCGCUCGCCGGAAGACCAAGGGUUCCUGUCCAACGUUAAUCGGGGCAGGGUGAGUCGACCCCUAAGGCGAGGCCGAAAGGCGUAGUCGAUGGGAAACAGGUUAAUAUUCCUGUACUUGGUGUUACUGCGAAGGGGGGACGGAGAAGGCUAUGUUGGCCGGGCGACGGUUGUCCCGGUUUAAGCGUGUAGGCUGGUUUUCCAGGCAAAUCCGGAAAAUCAAGGCUGAGGCGUGAUGACGAGGCACUACGGUGCUGAAGCAACAAAUGCCCUGCUUCCAGGAAAAGCCUCUAAGCAUCAGGUAACAUCAAAUCGUACCCCAAACCGACACAGGUGGUCAGGUAGAGAAUACCAAGGCGCUUGAGAGAACUCGGGUGAAGGAACUAGGCAAAAUGGUGCCGUAACUUCGGGAGAAGGCACGCUGAUAUGUAGGUGAAGUCCCUCGCGGAUGGAGCUGAAAUCAGUCGAAGAUACCAGCUGGCUGCAACUGUUUAUUAAAAACACAGCACUGUGCAAACACGAAAGUGGACGUAUACGGUGUGACGCCUGCCCGGUGCCGGAAGGUUAAUUGAUGGGGUUAGCCGCAAGGCGAAGCUCUUGAUCGAAGCCCCGGUAAACGGCGGCCGUAACUAUAACGGUCCUAAGGUAGCGAAAUUCCUUGUCGGGUAAGUUCCGACCUGCACGAAUGGCGUAAUGAUGGCCAGGCUGUCUCCACCCGAGACUCAGUGAAAUUGAACUCGCUGUGAAGAUGCAGUGUACCCGCGGCAAGACGGAAAGACCCCGUGAACCUUUACUAUAGCUUGACACUGAACAUUGAGCCUUGAUGUGUAGGAUAGGUGGGAGGCUUUGAAGUGUGGACGCCAGUCUGCAUGGAGCCGACCUUGAAAUACCACCCUUUAAUGUUUGAUGUUCUAACGUUGACCCGUAAUCCGGGUUGCGGACAGUGUCUGGUGGGUAGUUUGACUGGGGCGGUCUCCUCCUAAAGAGUAACGGAGGAGCACGAAGGUUGGCUAAUCCUGGUCGGACAUCAGGAGGUUAGUGCAAUGGCAUAAGCCAGCUUGACUGCGAGCGUGACGGCGCGAGCAGGUGCGAAAGCAGGUCAUAGUGAUCCGGUGGUUCUGAAUGGAAGGGCCAUCGCUCAACGGAUAAAAGGUACUCCGGGGAUAACAGGCUGAUACCGCCCAAGAGUUCAUAUCGACGGCGGUGUUUGGCACCUCGAUGUCGGCUCAUCACAUCCUGGGGCUGAAGUAGGUCCCAAGGGUAUGGCUGUUCGCCAUUUAAAGUGGUACGCGAGCUGGGUUUAGAACGUCGUGAGACAGUUCGGUCCCUAUCUGCCGUGGGCGCUGGAGAACUGAGGGGGGCUGCUCCUAGUACGAGAGGACCGGAGUGGACGCAUCACUGGUGUUCGGGUUGUCAUGCCAAUGGCACUGCCCGGUAGCUAAAUGCGGAAGAGAUAAGUGCUGAAAGCAUCUAAGCACGAAACUUGCC
rnacentral:rRNA from 1 species